rnacentral:misc_RNA from 1 species
GAUGAAGAACGCAGCGAAAUGCGAUACGUAGUGUGAAUUGCAGAAUUCAGUGAAUCAUCGAAUCUUUGAACGCACAUCGCACCUCUCGGUAUUCCGGGAGGUAUGCCUGUUCGAGCGUCAUUUGUACCCUCAAGCUCUGCUUGGUGUUGGGUGUUUGUUCCGCCUCUGUGUGUGAACUCGCCUCAAAACAAUUGGCAGCCGGCGUACUUGUUUCGGAGCGCAGCACAUUUUGCGAUCCAGAUCAACGUACAGCGGCAUCCAAGAAGCCUUAUUUAACGCUCUUGACCUCGGAUCAGGUAGGGAUACCCGCUGAACUUAAGCAUAUCAAUAAGCGGAGGA